rnacentral:rRNA from 1 species
GUGGGGAAUAUUGGACAAUGGGCGAAAGCCUGAUCCAGCCAUGCCGCGUGAGUGAUGAAGGCCUUAGGGUUGUAAAGCUCUUUCAGUAGGGAAGAUAAUGACGGUACCUACAGAAGAAGCCCCGGCUAACUUCGUGCCAGCAGCCGCGGUAAUACGAAGGGGGCUAGCGUUGUUCGGAUUUACUGGGCGUAAAGCGCACGUAGGCGGAUUGGUCAGUUAGAGGUGAAAUCCUGGAGCUCAACUCCAGAACUGCCUUUAAUACUGCCAGUCUAGAGUCCAGAAGAGGUGAGUGGAACUCCUAGUGUAGAGGUGGAAUUCGUAGAUAUUAGGAAGAACACCAGUGGCGAAGGCGGCUCACUGGUCUGGUACUGACGCUGAAGUGCGAAAGCGUGGGGAGCAAACAGGAUUAGAUACCCCAGUAGUCC